rnacentral:lncRNA from 10 species
CUUAGCUCUGGCCAGGGGCGCUGCAACGGGCUCAGCCUUCUAGGGGUGGCGGGUGAAGGCCUACACCUGCCCCAGGACGGCCAGGUCCACCAGCACCUGCAACAGACGGAGAACUGAAGGAGCAUCUUGAAGCUGUGGCUGUCUUGAAGGUGUCGCCGCUUGUCCUCACGAGCACCAUUUUGAUUCUCGUGCCCUGUGUGCAUGGGUGGCCAGCGUUGCUGGUAGGGCUCCUGCACGCUCAGAGUGGCCUUGGCCAGGAAGUCCAGGGUUUCCGCAGGCAGAGUGUAUGAACAAGAUGCCACAGACAUGUGAGAAAUGGAACUUUUGACAAGAUCUGUGAAAAGAAUGGUAUUUUAUUGUAUUAGGAUUCUCCAGAGGGACAGAACUGAUCGGAUAUAUGUGUAUAUGAAAAGGAGUUUAUUAGGGAGAAUUGGCUCACAUGAUCAUAAGGCGGUACUGAGAAGAUCACAUACUGCAUGUCCUCCUAAAACCUGGUCCUGGCAUAACCUUCUAAGCUGUUUUAUUCAGCAAGACAAAUGAGAAACAAAUAUGCCAACAUCUAUAGAG